GUACUCACUUCACUAGUACAUAUGCUAAAAUUGGAAUGAUAUGAAAGAAGAUGAGCAUGGUCUCUGCACAGGAUGACACACAAAUUUGUGAAGUGUUCCAUAGUUUU
rnacentral:snRNA from 1 species